rnacentral:rRNA from 1 species
UGCCAGCCGCCGCGGUAACACGUAGGGAGCAAGCGUUGUUCGGAUUUAUUGGGCGUAAAGAGCUCGUAGGUGGCUCAGUAAGUCGGGUGUGAAAACUCAGGGCUCAACCCUGAGACGCCACCCGAUACUGCUGUGGCUAGAGUCCGGUAGGGGAGCAUGGAAUUCCUGGUGUAGCGGUGAAAUGCGCAGAUAUCAGGAGGAACACCAGCGGCGAAGGCGGUGCUCUGGGCCGGUACUGACACUGAGGAGCGAAAGCAUGGGGAGCAAACAGGAUUAGAUA